UUCAUUCCAACAAUCAACAAGGCCCCUUUACGGCUUGAAAACACCACAGCAGAGGUGCCAACACGGUUACUUCUCUCAGUUGAGUGUUUCUAGGUGUCUGGAUAGUCCCAAUUUCCUCUGCACUCUUGUUGGAAGAACGUCCACUCCUCCUGAAUGUGGCCUCUUCCACGGCAGGCCAGGCCCACCCUGCAGGGACGUCCAAGGUUGGGUGCUCCUACCUUCAGGCACUUGAGCCACAGUCUUGCCCUAUAGGUCUAUUUCAGUUUUUUACUUUCAAAACAGAACAAAUGGGCUCUUGGUUAUCCUUUGUGCUUUCAAGGCCACUGGGAAAUAAAUUGCCUCAGUGGGCUGACUUGGAACUGAAUAUCUUCAUUUGUGGCCAGCACAUUUUAACUUUUUUUCCCCCAGAGGAAAAAAAGUUACUUACUUUUUUUUUCUUCAGAGAAAUCUAGACAUUCUCAAAUCUUCUUGGGAGAUGGGCAAGGAAAAGAGGAUGCAUUAGUCUGCUUUUCAUUACUAUGACCUAACUAUGGGUCAAGAACAACCUUAGAGUAGGAAAAGUUUGUUUGGGCUCAUGGCUUCAGAGGUUGAGUGUGGUCAGUUGACUUCACUGCUCUGGGCCUGAGGUGAGGCAGAACAUCAUGGUGGAAGAAAACUCAUUAGAAGCAAAGGCAAAACUUAAUCCUCAAAAUCAUACCCCCUCACCCCGUGACCUACUUCCUCCAGCCAUGCCCCACCCCCAGUUACCACCCAGAAGUCCAUUCAUAUUAUUGAUCCAUCAAAUGGAUUAAUCCACUGAUCAAGUUACAGCUCUCAUAAUCUAACCAUUUCACCUCUGAACGGUCUUGCAUUGACUAACAUUAGCGUUCGGGGAUACCUUGUAUCCAAAUCAUAACAGUGGAUAAGAUAGAAUUGGCAGCUUUGGUGCAAGGAAGUUUGACAGUGACAUCUGAGUACCAGAAAGGGCUGUUUUCAUGAAGAACAUUAGCAGUCACCAUCCCUCUGGCCAGACACAAGGACUGUGGCCAUCAUAUUUCAAUGGCACAUGGCUUUCUUGGGAAAGCAGGUGUGUAUAAAAGCAAGAGCAAGGAGGACAGACUGAGCAAUAAACUCAGGUAUGUGUGGGGGAUGCAGCACUCAGUGAUAGUGUGGUCUGCUUUCACACCUAGGGGA
rnacentral:lncRNA from 1 species